UCUGGUGGCGAUAGCCUCGAGGACACACUCCUUCCCAUACCGAACAGGACAGUUAAGCUCGAGUACGCCGAUGGUACUUUGGGGGAAGCCCCACGGGAGAGUAGGUAGCUGCCAGAUU
rnacentral:rRNA from 1 species